rnacentral:rRNA from 1 species
AACGAACGCUGGCGGCAGGCUUAACACAUGCAAGUCGAACGCCCCUUACGGGGAGUGGCAGACGGGUGAGUAACGCGUGGGAAUCUACCCAUCUCUACGGAAUAACGCAUGGAAACGUGUGCUAAUACCGUAUACGCCCUUUGGGGGAAAGAUUUAUCGGAGACGGAUGAGCCCGCGUUGGAUUAGCUAGUUGGUGGGGUAAAGGCCUACCAAGGCGACGAUCCAUAGCUGGUCUGAGAGGAUGAUCAGCCACAUUGGGACUGAGACACGGCCCAAACUCCUACGGGAGGCAGCAGUGGGGAAUAUUGGACAAUGGGCGCAAGCCUGAUCCAGCCAUGCCGCGUGAGUGAUGAAGGCCCUAGGGUUGUAAAGCUCUUUCACCGGUGAAGAUAAUGACGGUAACCGGAGAAGAAGCCCCGGCUAACUUCGUGCCAGCCGCCGCGGUAAGAC